rnacentral:rRNA from 1 species
UAGGGAAUCUUGCGCAAUGGGCGAAAGCCUGACGCAGCGACGCCGCGUGAGGGAUGAAGGCCUUCGGGUUGUAAACCUCUUUCAGCGGGGACGAAAUUGACGGUACCCGCAGAAGAAGGUCCGGCCAACUACGUGCCAGCAGCCGCGGUAAUACGUAGGGACCGAGCGUUGUCCGGAUUUAUUGGGCGUAAAGAGCGCGUAGGCGGCUAUCCACGUCGGGUGUGAAAGCUCGGGGCUCAACCCUGAGAGGCCAUUCGAUACGGGAUAGCUAGAGGCAGCUAGGGGAGAGUGGAAUUCCUGGUGUAGCGGUGAAAUGCGCAGAUAUCAGGAGGAACACCGGUGGCGAAGGCGGCUCUCUGGGGCUGUCCUGACGCUGAGGCGCGAAAGCUGGGGGAGCAAACAGG